rnacentral:rRNA from 1 species
AUGCACGCUGGCGGCGUGCCUCAUACCUGCCAGUCGCGCGAACAGACGAGGAGCUUGCUCCUCUGACGUUAGCGGCGGACGGGGGAGUAACACGUGGAUAACCUACCUAUAAGACUGGGAUAACUUCGGGAAACCGGAGCUAAUACCGGAUAAUAUAUUGAACCGCAUGGUUCAAUAGUGAAAGACGGUUUUGCUGUCACUUAUAGAUGGAUCCGCGCCGCAUUAGCUAGUUGGUAAGGUAACGGCUUACCAAGGCAACGAUGCGUAGCCGACCUGAGAGGGUGAUCGGCCACACUGGAACUGAGACACGGUCCAGACUCCUACGGGAGGCAGCAGUAGGGAAUCUUCCGCAAUGGGCGAAAGCCUGACGGAGCAACGCCGCGUGAGUGAUGAAGGUCUUCGGAUCGUAAAACUCUGUUAUUAGGGAAGAACAAAUGUGUAAGUAACUAUGCACGUCUUGACGGUACCUAAUCAGAAAGCCACGGCUAACUACGUG